UACGGAGGGAGCUAGCGUUGUUCGGAAUUACUGGGCGUAAAGCGCACGUAGGCGGCUUUGUAAGUUAGAGGUGAAAGCCCGGGGCUCAACCCCGGAAUUGCCUUUAAGACUGCAUCGCUUGAAUCCAGGAGAGGUGAGUGGAAUUCCGAGUGUAGAGGUGAAAUUCGUAGAUAUUCGGAAGAACACCAGUGGCGAAGGCGGCUCACUGGACGUGG
rnacentral:rRNA from 1 species